CUGCCAACCAUGUAAGAUGAGAGUUGCUACUCCUUGCCUUCUACCAUGAUUGUGAGGCUUCUCCAGUCACAUGGAACUAAAAAAAGGUUUACCACAGUGGCUCAAGGAAAACGGAACCAGAGUAAGACAGUUUCUACUUGGACUUGGGGAACCAGCAAACUCAUUCACUUACAAUCAAGAACAAACCGAUUAAAUUGAAUAAAGGUAAAGUGGAGUCAGAAGAAGAACCAAACGCUGAUUCGAACAUCUGGUAGAUGGAUCAUAAUUACAGCAGAGUUGCUGGGCAGAUAAGGCUGAAGACACGUAGAAGAAAACAACUAUUGGGUGAAUUUUGUGAGCAUUGAAAUGACACAGCACAGGGGAGCUAUAAAGGGGAGUUAUGACUUUGUUCCUGUUUUUAAAUCCACACUUUGCUGGUUCAAGAAUUGCUUUAAGAUCAUACUUUUGAUCUUCCGUGCACUCCUGAAGUAGGAAAAACACUGACUAGAAGGUCAAAGUCAUAAUACUACUGUAUGGUUGAUUUGAGGGGACUUCCUAGCUGUCCACCCAGUGCAUGAAUUCUUCUCUGCAACAUCCAUAUGUAAUGGCUAUCUGUGUUUUCUUUUGACUUCCUUCAGUGAUGUGAAACUUACCCUGAAUGAGACCUUCUUCUCCUAGGAAUACAAAAAGUUAAUAAUAAUAAUAAUAAUAGUUAUUAUCAAUUUAGCAUUUAUUAAAUACCAGACAUUGGAAUACAACCUUUACCUGCAUGUCGUUUAAAUUCAUUCUAAGUAUUAUCAACCCAUUUUAGAGAUGAAGUAAUCAAGACAGCAUUAAGAAACUUCCACAAGAACAGAGAACUACUUGGUUCUGUAUGAUUCUAGAGGCUGCGCUCCUAAUCUGUGUAGAAU
rnacentral:lncRNA from 1 species